CCUACGGGCGGCAGCAGUGGGGGAUAUUGCACAAUGGGGGAAACCCUGAUGCAGCAACGCCGCGUGAGUGAAGAAGGUCUUCGGAUUGUAAAGCUCUGUUCUCGGGGAAGAUAAUGACGGUACCCAAGUAAAAAGCUCCGGCUAACUACGUGCCAGCAGCCGCGGUAAUACGUAGGGAGCGAGCGUUGUCCGGAUUUACUGGGUGUAAAGGGUGCGCAGACGGCUGCGCAAGUCAGGCGUGAAAUGUAGGGGCUCAACCCCUAAACUGCGCUUGAAACUGUGGAGCUUGAGUGCAGGAGAGGCAGGCGGAAUUCCCGGUGUAGCGGUGAAAUGCGUAGAGAUCGGGAGGAACACCAGUGGCGAAGGCGGCCUGCUGGGCUGUAACUGACGCUGAGGCACGAAAGCAUGGGGAGCAAACAGGAUUAGAUACCCGAGUAGUC
rnacentral:rRNA from 1 species